ACUCCUACGGGAGGCAGCAGUGGGGAAUAUUGGACAAUGGGCGGAAGCCUGAUCCAGCAACGCCGCGUGGGGAUGAAGGCCUUCGGGUUGUAAACCUCUUUCAGUACCGACGAAGCUUUUUGUGACGGUAGGUACAGAAGAAGCACCGGCCAACUACGUGCCAGCAGCCGCGGUAAUACGUAGGGUGCGAGCGUUGUCCGGAAUUAUUGGGCGUAAAGGGCUCGUAGGCGGUCUGUCGCGUCGGAAGUGUAAACAUCUGGCUCAACC
rnacentral:rRNA from 1 species